CGCACCGCUGCGGGAGAGCGUCGCCCACCUUAAGGUGAGGGUGACCGCCGAAGGAGCAACACCUCCUCGUCAAACUCUCAGGCACCUGGACCGUGGUGGAUGA
rnacentral:ncRNA from 2 species